GCCGGCCUAGCUCAAUUGGUAGAGCAACUGACUUGUAAUCAGUAGAUUGGGGGUUCAAGUCCUCUGGCCGGCACCA
rnacentral:tRNA from 2 species